rnacentral:other from 1 species
AAAGCCCUACUGUGUCCGUGAUAACUUGGUGGUUUGAGCCAACACCACUACAUAGGGAGCCCGGGCUCCGUUCGUGGCGUGUAUGCCUCGGUCGCAAACCUUACCCGAGGUCUUGCGGUACAGUGGACACACAAAGCGCGCGGGAGGGCACCCACCUGCGAGAGCGGGUUCUAAACCCAUCGGUUUUCACGGCAUGGUGGGGUUGUU